GCCACACCCGUUCCCAUUCCGAACACGGAAGUUAAGCUCUCCAACGCCGAUGGUACUGCCUUCUAGGUGGGAGAGUAGGUCGUCGCCAGGC
rnacentral:rRNA from 1 species